rnacentral:rRNA from 1 species
GGUUGCGAUCAUACCAGCACUAAUGCACCGGAUCCUAUCAGAACUCCGCAGUUAAGCGUGCUUGGGCGAGAGUAGUACUAGGAUGGGUGACCCCCUGGAAAGUCCUCGUGUUGCAACCC